AGAGUUUGAUCCUGGCUCAGGAUGAACGCUGGCGGCGUGCUUAACACAUGCAAGUCGAACGGGAAACCUUUUAUUGAAGCUUCGGCAGAUUUAGCUGGUUUCUAGUGGCGGACGGGUGAGUAACGCGUGGGUAACCUGCCUCAUACAGGGGGAUAACAGUUAGAAAUGACUGCUAAUACCGCAUAAGACCACGGAGCCGCAUGGCUCAGUGGGAAAAACUCCGGUGGUAUGAGAUGGACCCGCGUCUGAUUAGGUAGUUGGUGGGGUAACGGCCUACCAAGCCAACGAUCAGUAGCCGACCUGAGAGGGUGACCGGCCACAUUGGGACUGAGACACGGCCCAAACUCCUACGGGAGGCAGCAGUGGGGAAUAUUGCACAAUGGGGGAAACCCUGAUGCAGCGACGCCGCGUGAGCGAAGAAGUAUUUCGGUAUGUAAAGCUCUAUCAGCAGGGAAGAAAAUGACGGUACCUGACUAAGAAGCACCGGCUAAAUACGUGCCAGCAGCCGCGGUAAUACGUAUGGUGCAAGCGUUAUCCGGAUUUACUGGGUGUAAAGGGAGCGUAGACGGCUGUGUAAGUCUGAAGUGAAAGCCCGGGGCUCAACCCCGGGACUGCUUUGGAAACUAUGCAGCUAGAGUGUCGGAGAGGUAAGUGGAAUUCCCAGUGUAGCGGUGAAAUGCGUAGAUAUUGGGAGGAACACCAGUGGCGAAGGCGGCUUACUGGACGAUGACUGACGUUGAGGCUCGAAAGCGUGGGGAGCAAACAGGAUUAGAUACCCUGGUAGUCCACGCCGUAAACGAUGACUACUAGGUGUCGGGGAGCAAAGCUCUUCGGUGCCGCAGCAAACGCAAUAAGUAGUCCACCUGGGGAGUACGUUCGCAAGAAUGAAACUCAAAGGAAUUGACGGGGACCCGCACAAGCGGUGGAGCAUGUGGUUUAAUUCGAAGCAACGCGAAGAACCUUACCUGCUCUUGACAUCCCGGUGACCGGCGUGUAAUGACGCCUUUUCUUCGAAACACCGGUGACAGGUGGUGCAUGGUUGUCGUCAGCUCGUGUCGUGAGAUGUUGGGUUAAGUCCCGCAACGAGCGCAACCCUUAUCUUCAGUAGCCAGCAAUUCGGAUGGGCACUCUGGAGAGACUGCCAGGGAUAACCUGGAGGAAGGUGGGGAUGACGUCAAAUCAUCAUGCCCCUUAUGAGCAGGGCUACACACGUGCUACAAUGGCGUAAACAAAGGGAAGCAAACCUGCGAGGGUAAGCAAAUCUCAAAAAUAACGUCUCAGUUCGGAUUGUAGUCUGCAACUCGACUACAUGAAGCUGGAAUCGCUAGUAAUCGCGAAUUAGCAUGUCGCGGUGAAUACGUUCCCGGGUCUUGCACACACCGCCCGUCA
rnacentral:rRNA from 1 species